GACAGAGGGGGCAAGCGUUGCUCGGAAUUACUGGGCGUAAAGGGCGCGUAGGCGGCCUUCUAAGUCGAACGUGAAAUCCCCGGGCUCAACCCGGGAACUGCGUCCGAUACUGGAAGGCUUGAAUCCGGGAGAGGGAUGCGGAAUUCCAGGUGUAGCGGUGAAAUGCGUAGAUAUCAGGAGGAACACCGGUGGCGAAGGCGGCUACCUGGACAGAAACUGACGCUGAGGCGCGAAAGCUAGGGGAGCAAACAGG
rnacentral:rRNA from 1 species